rnacentral:rRNA from 1 species
AUUGAACGCUGGCGGCAGGCCUAACACAUGCAAGUCGAGCGGAUGAAGGGAGCUUGCUCCUGGAUUCAGCGGCGGACGGGUGAGUAAUGCCUAGGAAUCUGCCUGGUAGUGGGGGAUAACGUCCGGAAACGGGCGCUAAUACCGCAUACGUCCUGAGGGAGAAAGUGGGGGAUCUUCGGACCUCACGCUAUCAGAUGAGCCUAGGUCGGAUUAGCUAGUUGGUGGGGUAAAGGCCUACCAAGGCGACGAUCCGUAACUGGUCUGAGAGGAUGAUCAGUCACACUGGAACUGAGACACGGUCCAGACUCCUACGGGGGGCAGCAGUGGGGAAUAUUGGACAAUGGGCGAAAGCCUGAUCCAGCCAUGCCGCGUGUGCGAAGAAGGUCUUCGGAUUGUAAAGCACUUUAAGUUGGGAGGAAGGGCAGUAAGUUAAUACCUUGCUGUUUUGACGUUACCAACAGAAUAAGCACCGGCUAACUUCGUG